CCCUUCCGUAUUCUCGCCCGUCGUGGACUGGUGGCUUAUCAACUGGAGUUUCCACCUCAGUUCUCUCACGUUCAUGACGUCUUCCAUGUGUCGCAACUUCGUCGAUGCUUCAAGGAUCCGGAACGUGAAGUGGAUCCUGAAUUGAUUGAAAUUCAAGAUGAUCUCACAUACAAGGAGCAUCCGAUCUGCAUUCUUGAAGAAGCUGAACGUCGAACCCGCCAGAAGGUUACUAAGUUCCUCAAGGUGCAAUGGUCGAAUCAUACUAAAGAGGAAGCCACUUGGGAACGCGAAGAUAACCUCCGGGCUGAAUACCCCGAUCUUUUCCCUUCUACCUCUUAA
rnacentral:rRNA from 1 species